UACAGAGGGUGCGAGCGUUACUCGGAAUUACUGGGCGUAAAGCGUGCGUAGACGGUUAUGUAAGUCGGGUGUGAAAGCCCCGGGCUCAACCUGGGAAUUGCAUUCGAGACUGCAUAGCUAGGGUGCGGAAGAGGGAAGCGGAAUUUCCGGUGUAGCGGUGAAAUGCGUAGAUAUCGGAAGGAACACCAGUGGCGAAAGCGGCUUCCUGGUCCAGCACCGACGUUCAGGCACGAAAGCGUGGGGAGCAAACAGG
rnacentral:rRNA from 1 species